GUUGAACUUCUAGACUCUAGUCAAUUUUCUUAGAAAUUCCCACUAGUUUCGUGUCAAAUAAUUUUAUUCAUUGCGUUGUUUGAUCAAGAUUAGUUUUGAUGGAAUUUCCUGGCAGCUACAACACUUGGCCACAUAAUCAAUUAGCAUUAAUAUGUACGGCUGUCAUGUGACGUCUUCAUUAAGGCCUCCCCAAAGACCAGUAGCAAGCAGCAGCAGCAGAAAGAAAUAACAAAGAAAACCAACAGAAACCCGCAAAAACCACAUAAAGUCCAGACCAAUUAAACUAUCAGCAAAUCUGAAAGCAAGAAAAAAGUAAGAGAAAUAUGCCCGCACAUGCCAUAGAAUGGAGUAAGGGUAUGUAACGUUGGAAACAUAGAGGCAAAACUAAGGAAAGGAAACUCGUCUGCUGGCAUUUUUUCUCAUCAGCGGAACAAAAACUUUCAGCAAAAACUUUCUGUAGUAAUUUUCAGCUCUGGAAUGAAGUAGUUUCCCAUUCGCGAAGGUAGUUUGGUUUCCGCCUGAACUCAAUUUGUGGGUGAGAUGGAGAUUUCAUACCUUAGAGACGGAGUGAAUAAUAAAUGAUCACCAGGGUCUUCAUUUGGGACGAUUCAGCAAAGGAAUUUUAUAAAAUUAAAAUAACAUAAGCCUGGAAUGACAAAAUGCACUGAAUCCUUUAUCCUUCAAGAAUCAGAAUGAAACAUUUGAGAUCCUAGAGCGCUCUGCCGCUAAUAGUCCAUUAAAUAAAUAAAUUUUUGAACAAGUUUAAGGACUCAUAUCCCUGAUGCAAUGAAUAAUUGAUUGUCUGCUGUAAUUAAAAGUUUGCACAAGUGGGUUAUUUUUUUGCAGCAGCCUGCUGCUUAAACUCUGAACUCAAAAGUAAAUAUUUGAAUGACUUUCGUACAGAGAGAGAGAGCGCAAAGGAUGAGGGCGCGUAGCAAGGAUCAGCAUAAUGCUUGAUGAUGAUGAUGCUGGCCGUUGAUAAACCCGAUGACAGGACGACAUUCAUUCUCUCGCAGUCCCGUUGCGUCUUGCUCUUGUGUUUGUUUUUCUAUAUUCUUUUGGGGGAAUGUGGAAUGGCGCCUGUGGGUUUUUGCAAUUAAUUAAACCCUUGCUUCUGUCGCUGUCGGUGCUGCAUAAAUUAUCAGGAUAUUCGUACUUUCCUUCUUUUAAAUUAUA